CCAGACUCCUACGGGAGGCAGCAGUGGGGAAUAUUGCACAAUGGGGGAAACCCUGAUGCAGCGACGCCGCGUGAGUGAAGAAGUAAUUCGUUAUGUAAAGCUCUAUCAGCAGGGAAGAAAAUGACGGUACCUGAGUAAGAAGCCCCGGCUAACUACGUGCCAGCAGCCGCGGUAAUACGGAGGAUGCGAGCGUUAUCCGGAUUUAUUGGGUUUAAAGGGUGCGUAGGCGGAAUGCCAAGUCAGCGGUAAAAUCGCGGGGCUCAACCUCGCUCCGCCGUUGAAACUGGGUGCCUUGAGUGGGCGAGAAGUACGCGGAAUGCGUGGUGUAGCGGUGAAAUGCAUAGAUAUCGCGCAGAACUCCGAUUGCGAAGGCAGCAUGCCGGCUCCACACUGACGCUGAGGCACGAAAGCGUGGGUAUCGAACAGGAUUAGAUACCCUCGUACA
rnacentral:rRNA from 1 species